rnacentral:pre_miRNA from 1 species
AGCGGUAAGUGGAGUGGUGGUCUCAUCGCUUUUCAUACACUAAAGUGAGAUUCAACUUCUCCGACUUACCGCU